UAAGUUUUUUACUACUAGGUACAAUAUCCGUGCCCUAGUUAUUACUAUCGACGAUUGAUCGAAUAUAAUAUGUAGUUGUCGAAAAGUUGUAUGUACCUAUUAUUAUACGAUACAAUUAGGUAUUGUACGCUACAAAUUCAAGUGCCCCACCGCAAACUAUACACCGUCGAUGAUAUUGUAUGCGUACACACCACACAGCCAUCACGGUUAUCUACUUUAGAUAAGUUUUCGUGUUCGUUUCAUACGUCCGCGUGGACACGAUGAUUAUCACGUCAUAUUAUAUUGCAUUUGACAAGCAUUUUCCUAAGCCGACCAACAACAAUUAUUUUGGGUCUUAUGCGAUACAUUGAUGGCCAUCGUUCGGAAGAUGCACUCUAUAAAACUGUGAAUUCCGGUCGAAUAUAAUCGUUUUCGGUGACAUAAACAUUUGACGUUCGAAAUUGAAUUUAUCAACCAUCACGAGGCGGAAUGUCAUCGCUCCUGCACUUCACUUCAUCCAGUGUCCGUCAACGUGUUAAACAACCCCUAUCCCUGCAGCCACGAGGCGAAAGAGAGAGGGUUUUUUUGUGGUCGACAAUCGUGAUAUGAUUUGUUUUUCCGUAACGUUUUUAAUAAUUUACAAUCAUAAACUUCCAUAACCUA